CCAUGGAGCAAGUGACCCCCCGCCCCCCGCCAGGUCUGCGUGUCCAUCCGUGUGUCCCGUUGUCAAAUCGCCCGUGAUGCACUUUGAAGGGCUUUGAUCAGCACCUGGCACUGCCACCAAGGACAAGCUGCUACAGGCUGUCCUAUUCCCUCAGAAAGCACCAAGUGCCCCAGCACCCAGAGCAAAACCUGGCCAAGGGUGUCACUCAGAAGUGUUUGUUCAACCACCACUUAUGAAAGCCUUCACUUAGCUCAAUUCUGAUGGGGAGGAAAAGAGCGCAAGAAGGAACAGAAGCAGCUCUGGAGUAUUCAACCCUGCGCAGGCUCAAGGGGUCCAAGGUAAUGACCAGGCUCCAGGAUGAGUGGCAGCAGCUUCACACUCAUCUCUGCCCUAAUAAUGGAGUGAAUUCCUACUCUAAACUCUUGAGAUUGGCUUUUGGAAUUCCAUUUCUGGGGGAGCCGU